rnacentral:tRNA from 1 species
GGAGAGAUGGCUGAGAGGUUUAAAGCACAUGCUUGGAAAGCAUGUAUAUAUUGUAUCAAGGGUUCGAAUCCCUUUCUCUCCG